rnacentral:rRNA from 1 species
UACGAAGGGGGCUAGCGUUGCUCGGAAUCACUGGGCGUAAAGCGGACGUAGGCGGCUUCUUAAGUCAGGGGGGAAAUCCUGGAGCUCAACUCCAGAACUGUCUUUGAUACUGGGGAGCUCGAGUCCGGGAGAGGUGAGUGGAACUGCGAGUGUAGAGGUGAAAUUCGUAGAUAUUCGCAAGAACACCAGUGGCGAAGGCGGCUCACUGGCCCGGUACUGACGCUGAGGUGCGAAAGCGUGGGGAGCAAACAGG